CCCUACGGGGGGCAGCAGUGAGGAAUAUUGGUCAAUGGUCGGGAGACUGAACCAGCCAAGCCGCGUGAGGGAUGAAGGUACAGAGUAUCGUAAACCUCUUUUGUCAGGGAACAAAGGCGGGGACGUGUCCCCGGAUGAGUGUACCUGAAGAAAAAGCAUCGGCUAACUCCGUGCCAGCAGCCGCGGCAAUACGGAGGAUGCGAGCGUUAUCCGGAUUUAUUGGGUUUAAAGGGUGCGCAGGCGGUCUGUUAAGUCAGCGGUCAAAGCCCGGGGCUCAACCCCGGCCCGCCCUUGAAACUGGCAGG
rnacentral:rRNA from 1 species